rnacentral:rRNA from 1 species
UACGAAGGGGGCUAGCGUUGUUCGGAAUUACUGGGCGUAAAGCGCGUGCAGGCGGGUCUUUAAGUCAGGGGUGAAAUGCCAAGGCUCAACCUUGGAACUGCCUUUGAUACUGGAGACCUUGAGUCCGGGAGAGGUGAGUGGAAUUGCGAGUGUAGAGGUGAAAUUCGUAGAUAUUCGCAAGAACACCAGUGGCGAAGGCGGCUCACUGGCCCGGAACUGACGCUGAGAUGCGAAAGCGUGGGGAGCAAACAGG